rnacentral:rRNA from 1 species
GACGAACGCUGGCGGCGUGCUUAACACAUGCAAGUCGAACGGUGAAGCGCCUUCCUUUUUGGUGGGUGUGGAUGAGUGGCGAACUGGUGAGUAACACGUGAGUAACCUGCGCCCGUCUUCUGGAGAACCGCAGGAAAGUGAGGCUAAUACGGGAUAGUCUGGGUCUGUCGCAUGAUGGGUCUGGGAAAGAUAUUGUGUCGGUGGGGGAUGGGCUCGCGGCCUAUCAGCUUGUUGGUGGGGUGAUGGCCUACCACGGCGGUGACGGGUAGCCGGCCUGGGAGGGUGGACGGCCCCGCUGCUGAGGAGACACCGCCCCGACUCCUGCGGGCGGCAGUAGUGAAGAUUAUUGCACAGUCGGAGCAAUCCUGCUGCCGCGCCGCCGGUGGGGGGAUGGACUCCUUCGUGUUGUGAACCUCUUUCGCCAGUGAAGCAGGCCUGCCUCGUUUGUGGGUGGGUUGACGGUAGCUGGAUAAGAAGCGCCGGCUAACUACGUG